CCUACGGGAGGCAGCAGUGGGGAAUAUUGGGCAAUGGGCGCAAGCCUGACCCAGCAACGCCGCGUGAAGGAAGAAGGCUCUCGGGUUGUAAACUUCUUUUAUCAGGGACGAAGCAAGUGACGGUACCUGAUGAAUAAGCCACGGCUAACUACGUGCCAGCAGCCGCGGUAAUACGUAGGUGGCAAGCGUUAUCCGGAUUUACUGGGUGUAAAGGGCGUGUAGGCGGGAAAGCAAGUCAGAUGUGAAAACCCUGGGCUCAACCUGUGGCCUGCAUUUGAAACUGUUUUGCUUGAGUACUGGAGAGGCAGACGGAAUUCCUAGUGUAGCGGUGAAAUGCGUAGAUAUUAGGAGGAACACCAGUGGCGAAGGCGGUCCGCUGGACAGCAACUGACGCUGAGGCGCGAAAGCGUGGGGAGCAAACAGGAUUAGAUACCCGGGUAGUC
rnacentral:rRNA from 1 species